AAGACUACUUUCUGGGAUUAUUUCUAUAGUCCUUUGCUAGAGAAGUUUAUCUGAUUGUGUAGAGCAUCAGAACACCCCACCCCCCACACUCCGAAGAGCUGGAGUACACUCUCCUGAGCAGAAAGCUGGUUCUAGAUGUUACUUAUGCAACUGCCUUGACUGAUUGAUGAUUGUUCUUCUCUUCCCUUUGAAGGGGGAGAGGCAGAGAAUAUAGGCUGAGUGGU